rnacentral:rRNA from 1 species
UACGAAGGGGGCUAGCGUUGCUCGGAAUCACUGGGCGUAAAGGGUGCGUAGGCGGGUCUUUAAGUCAGGGGUGAAAUCCUGGAGCUCAACUCCAGAACUGCCUUUGAUACUGAAGAUCUUGAGUUCGGGAGAGGUGAGUGGAACUGCGAGUGUAGAGGUGAAAUUCGUAGAUAUUCGGAAGAACACCAGUGGCGAAGGCGACUUACUGGACACAUAUUGACGCUGAGGUGCGAAAGCGUGGGGAGCAAACGGG